UCGUACAACUGAGGUGCGAAGGCUGUCGCUGACCCUCAAGGGUUGUGCACGCCCGAGCGCUCUCACACAAUCCAUCUCACCUCUGUGCAUCACCGCGUGGGUCCCCUUUGCGGGAGGGCUCACGUUUUCACAUAAAACUCGAUACAGUGUAGAAUGUUUCUUUUGCGGUCACACGCAAUCAAUA
rnacentral:misc_RNA from 1 species